AUGUGGAAACUGAGGCAUAGAAAGUCAAGUAACCUGCUCAAUGUCACAAUGAGCUAAAGCCAGGAUUUGAACUCAGACGGUUUGACUUCAGGGUCUACACAAUUUGCCACCGUUAUCCUCACUUUUGUUAAUAGUUAUACAUCAACUGGCCGAAGGGGUGUGGUUGACCUCAGAAAACACUGGUUUCUUCAACGUGUAAAGGAUAUUUUCUAGUUCAGAAGAAACUUUUUGUUAUUUACAAAGAUGCACGUACUCACUUCUGAGAAGAAGCUUUCAGGCACAGGACGUACACUUGACAACGAGUGAGAGUCUGCUCCUGAUGUGUCAGAACUCACAGUUAGAUGGGGAAGAAAGGCAUGUAGACAAAACAGUGUAGUGCGGGCAGAAUGUGGUGAGUAUUAUUAUGGGUCUUGAAAACAAGAGGCAAAAGAACGUUUUGUCUGGGGUCACUGAGGAAGGCAGCACAAAGAAAAAGGGACUUUCAUGCAAUAAUGAGAGGAAGGAAGAAGACACCAAAGGAAACCUG
rnacentral:lncRNA from 1 species